UACGUAGGUGGCAAGCGUUAUUCGGAAUUAUUGGGCGUAAAGCGCGCGCAGGCGGUUUCUUAAGUCUGAUGUGAAAGCCCACGGCUCAACCGUGGAGGGUCAUUGGAAACUGGGGAACUUGAGUGCAGAAGGGAAAAGCGGAAUUCCACGUGUAGCGGUGAAAUGCGUAGAGAUGUGGAGGAACACCAGCGGCGAAGGCGGCUUUUUGGUCUGUAACUGACGCUGAGGCGCGAAAGCGUGGGGAGCAAACAGG
rnacentral:rRNA from 1 species